AUAGGAACAAGAUGGGCAUGCGGAACAUUAGCUAGUUGGUAAGGUAACGGCUUACCAAGGCUACGAUGUUUAGGGGAUCUGAGAGGAUGACCCNCCACAACUGGUACUGAGACACGGACCAGACUCCUACGGGAGGCAGCAGUAAGGAAUAUUGGUCAAUGGGCGCAAGCCUGAACCAGCCAUGCCGCGUGCAGGAAGACGGCCCUAUGGGUUGUAAACUGCUUUUAUACCGGAAUAAACCUUGAUACGUGUAUCAAGCUGAAUGUACGGUAAGAAUAAGGAUCGGCUAACUCCGUGCCAGCAGCCGCGGUAAUACGGAGGAUCCAAGCGUUAUCCGGAUUUAUUGGGUUUAAAGGGUGCGUAGGUGGUUCUUUAAGUCAGGGGUGAAAGACGGCAGCUUAACUGUCGCAGUGCCUUUGAUACUGAAGAACUUGAAUCCACUAGAGGUAGGCGGAAUGUGACAAGUAGCGGUGAAAUGCAUAGAUAUGUCACAGAACACCAAUUGCGAAGGCAGCUUACUAUGGUUUUAUUGACACUGAGGCACGAAAGCGUGGGGAUCAAACAGGAUUAGAUACCCUGGUAGUCCACGCCCUAAACGAUGAAUACUCGAUGUUGGCGAUAUACGGUCAGCGUCUAAGCGAAAGCGUUAAGUAUUCCACCUGGGGAGUACGCCCGCAAGGGUGAAACUCAAAGGAAUUGACGGGGGCCCGCACAAGCGGAGGAGCAUGUGGUUUAAUUCGAUGAUACGCGAGGAACCUUACCCGGGCUUGAAAGUUAGUGAAUAAAGCAGAGACGCUUUAGUCCUUCGGGACACGAAACUAGGUGCUGCAUGGCUGUCGUCAGCUCGUGCCGUGAGGUGUUGGGGUAAGUCCCGCAACGAG
rnacentral:rRNA from 1 species